rnacentral:tRNA from 1 species
GCCGCCGUAGCUCAGCCCGGGAGAGCGCCCGAGAGGUAGAUACCUCGGCGAAGCUGAAGACCGGGUUGUCGGGGGUUCAAAUCCCCCCGGCGGCA